CUCUGCCACCGAAUACAUUAGCAUGGGAUAAUGGAAUAGGACCCUGUCCUCCUAUUUUCAGUUGGUUUUGGCAGCGCGAGGACUAGGGUAAUGAUUAAUAGGGAUAGUUGGGGGCAUUAAUAUUUAAUUGUCAGAGGUGAAAUUCUUGGAUUUAUGAAAGAUUAACUUCUGCGAAAGCAUCUGCCAAGGAUGUUUUCAUUAAUCAAGAACGAAAGUUAGGGGAUCGAAGACGAUCAGAUACCGUCGUAGUCUUAACCAUAAACGAUGCCGACCAGCGAUUAGGAGACGUUGAAUACAAAACACCACCAUCGGCGCGGUCGUCCUUGGCGUCUCGUCUUUCAUUCACUGGGCCGCUUCCGCCGUUUACCCCUGAGGCCC
rnacentral:rRNA from 1 species